rnacentral:rRNA from 1 species
UCCUACGGGCGGCUGCAGUCGAGAAUCUUCGGCAAUGGGCGCAAGCCUGACCGAGCGACGCCGCGUGCGGGAUGAAGGCCCUUGGGUUGUAAACCGCUGUCAGAGGGGAUGAAGUGCGGGUGGGUUCUCCCAUCCGUUUGACAUAGCCUCAGAGGAAGCACGGGCUAAGUUCGUGCCAGCAGCCGCGGUAAUACGAACUGUGCAAACGUUAUUCGGAAUCACUGGGCUUAAAGGGUGCGUAGGCGGCUCAAUAAGUAGGGUGUGAAAGCCCCCGGCUUAACCGGGGAAUGGCGCUCUAAACUGUUGAGCUGGAGUGAGAUAGGGGUGUGUGGAACUUCCGGUGGAGCGGUGAAAUGUGUUGAUAUCGGAAGGAACGCCGGUGGCGAAAGCGACACACUGGGUCUCAACUGACGCUGAGGCACGAAAGCCAGGGGAGCAAACGGGAUUAGAUACCCUAGUAGUCCC